rnacentral:rRNA from 1 species
GAUGAACGCUGGCGGCGUGCCUAAUACAUGCAAGUCGAGCGGACGGACGAUAAGCUUGCUUCUCUGUUGUUAGCGGCGCACGGGUGAGUAACACGUGUAUAACCUACCUAUAAGACUGGGAUAACUUCGGGAAACCGUAGCUAAUAGCGUAGAAUAUUUUGAACCGCAUUGUUCAAAAGUGAAAGACGGUCUUGCUGUCACUUAUAGAUGGAUCCCCGCUGCAUGAGAUAGUUGGUAAGGUAACAGCUUACGAAGGCUACGAUGCGUAGACGAACUGAUAGGGUGAUAGGCGACCUUGGAACGGAGACACGGUCCAGACUACUACGGGAGGCAGCAGUAGGGAACCUUCGGCAAUGGGCGAAAGCAUGACGGAGCAACGCCGAGUGAGUGAUGAAGGUCCUCGGAUCGUAAAACUCUGUUACUAGGGAAGAACCUAUGUGUACGUAACUGUGCACAUCUUGACGGUAACUAAUAAGAAAGCACCGGCUAACUACGUG